rnacentral:rRNA from 1 species
AUUGAACACUGGCGGCAUGCCUUACACAUGCAAGUCGAACGGUAACAGGUCUUCGGAUGCUGACGAGUGGCGAACGGGUGAGUAAUGCAUCGGAACGUGCCCAGUAGUGGGGGAUAGCCCGGCGAAAGCCGGAUUAAUACCGCAUACGACCUGAGGGUGAAAGGGGGGGAUCGCAAGACCUCUCGCUAUUGGAGCGGCCGAUGUCAGAUUAGCUAGUUGGUGGGGUAAAGGCCUACCAAGGCAACGAUCUGUAGUUGGUCUGAGAGGACGACCAGCGACACUGGGACUGAGACACGGCCCAGACUCCUACGGAAGGCAGCAGUGGGGAAUUUUGGACAAUGGGCGCAAGCCUGAUCCAGCAAUGCCGCGUGCAGGAAGAAGGCCUUCGGGUUGUAAACUGCUUGUGUCAGGGAAGAAGUCUUCUGGGUUAAUACCUCGGGAGGAUGACGGUACCUGAAGAAUAAGCACCGGCUAACUACGUGCCAGCCGCCGCCGUAA